rnacentral:tRNA from 1 species
UAGCUCAACUGGUAGAGCAUGGCAUUAACAUUGCCGGGUUCGAUUACCAGUUGGACCA